rnacentral:rRNA from 1 species
AACGUAGGUGGCAAGCGUUAUCCGGAAUUACUGGGCGUAAAGGGUGUGCAGGCGGGGCUGCAAGUGGCGUAUGAAAUCUCCCAGCUUAACUGGGAUAGGUUAUGCCAGACUGCAGUUCUAGAGGACGAGAGAGGGGGGUGGAAUUCCGGGUGUAGUGGUGAAAUGCGUAGAGAUCCGGAGGAACCCCAGAGGCGAAGGCGGCCCCCUGGCUCGUACCUGACGCUCAGCCACGAAAGCAUGGGGAGCGAACGGG